rnacentral:ncRNA from 2 species
AUUAUAGUUAAAGCGCCCGAACUUGAGUGAUAUAGUUCAUUUAAGUUGACGAGGAUGGGGAGAAUCGAAUCUUCGGCGGAUGCCCCACGGUACCGCACUACCGUUAGCGGUUGGUAAAAGCAGAAAGUGAUUUCUGUCACAAAGCCAAUCUGGUGUUAAAA